rnacentral:rRNA from 1 species
AUGGAGACCGACUGUCUAGAGGCAGUUAACCUCUGGAAUUCUCGCUAUAACGGUCGCUCGGUGAUAGCACCUAUCCUGUUAGAAAUUGGAGAGCUAGCUCCUAGCUUUAUUUCUUUUUCUAUUCAACAUGUAAUAAGAACAGCAAACGGUCCUGCACAUCUCUGUGCUAAGCGUGGUUUGACGCUUACAGUGACUAAGAGCUGGAUAGACUCUACUCCUAGCUUCCUGAUCAGUAGCCUAUUGGCGGACUGUUCAGCGAAUGCUUUCGUUGAAUAA